rnacentral:rRNA from 1 species
GCCGACUGAAACCUUUAUUUUUCUAGGUUGACCUCGGAUCAGGUAGGGAUACCCG